CCAAUAGCGUAUAUUAAAGUUGUUGCAGUUAAAAAGCUCGUAGUUGAAUUUCGGAUUCAAUAUGUCGGUCGUGCCUCCGGUACGUACUGGUAUCGUUGAUUUCUACCUUCUGACGAACCAUGAUGUCAUUAAUUUGGUGUCAUGGGAAAUCAGGACUGUUACUUUGAAAAAAUUAGAGUGUUUAAAGCAGGCACACGCUUGAAUACAUUAGCAUGGAAUAAUGAAAUAGGACGUUUGAUCCUAUUUUGUUGGUUUCUAGGGUCGACGUAAUGAUUAAUAGGGAUAGUUGGGGGCGUUAGUAUUCAAUUGUCAGAGGUGAAAUUCUUUGAUUUAUUGAAGACUGACUACUGCGAAAGCAUGUGCCAAGGAUGUUUUCAUUAAUCAAGAACGAAAGUUAGGGGAUCGAAGACGAUCAGAUACCGUCGUAGGCUUAACCAUAAGCUAUGCCGACUAGGGGUCGGAUGAUGUUAAUUUUUUAAUGACUCAUUCGGCGCCUUACG
rnacentral:rRNA from 1 species